rnacentral:snoRNA from 1 species
ACCCUCCCGAUUCCUCACCCCUCAGAUCGAAAGAUUGGUCUGAGUGACCCAAAAAAGGAGGAAAAGUAAAACUGAAGUAGACUUGGAGUUUUUGUGAUGUACAAGUUCAUUUCAAACAUAC